AUUGAACGUUGGCGGCACGCCUUAUACAUGCAAGUCGAACGAGAAAGCACUUCGGUGUGAGUACAGUGGCGGACGGGUGAGUAACGCGUAGGAAUCUACCUUCAGGUGGGGGAUAACUCGGGGAAACUCGAGCUAAUACCGCAUGACAUCUACGGAUCAAAGCGGGGGAUCUUCGGACCUCGCGCCAGGAGAGGAGCCUGCGUUGGAUUAGCUUGUUGGUGGGGUAAUGGCCUACCAAGGCGACGAUCUAUAGCUGGUCUGAGAGGACGAUCAGCCACACUGGAACUGAGACACGGUCCAGACUCCUACGGGAGGCAGCAGUAGGGAAUCUUGGUCAAUGGGCGCAAGCCUGAACCAGCGAUGCCGCGUGUGCGAAGAAG
rnacentral:rRNA from 1 species